GACGAACGCUGGCGGCGUGCUUAACACAUGCAAGUCGAACGAGUGGCGGACGGGUGAGUAACGCGUAUCAACCUGCCCUUCAGAGGGGGAUAACUACUGGAAACGGUAGCUAAUACCGCAUACCAUCAGAUGUGCCCGGAGGGGAUUGGCUAGUAGGUGGGGUAACGGCUCACCUUGGCGACGAUCUCUAGCUGGUCUGAGAGGAUGACCGGCCACACCGGAACUGGGCAACGGCCCGGACUCCUACGGUAGGCAGCAGUGGGGAAUAUUGCGCAAUGGGGGCAACCCUGACGCAGCCAUGCCGCGGGAAGGAAGAAGGCCUUCGGGUUGUAAAGUUCUUUCGGUGACGAGGCGUUAAUCACAGAAGAAGCACCGGCUAACUCCGUGCCAGCAGCCGCGGUAAUUC
rnacentral:rRNA from 1 species